rnacentral:tRNA from 2 species
GUGCCUGUAGCUCAAAAGGAUAGAGCGCUGGACUCCGGAUCCGGAGGUUGCGGGUUCGACUCCCGCCAGGCACGCCA